CAGUCGCCGCGGGAAUACGGAGGGGGCUAGCGUUGUUCGGAAUUACUGGGCGUAAAGCGCACGUAGGCGGCUAUGUAAGUUAGAGGUGAAAGCCUGGAGCUCAACUCCAGAAUUGCCUUUAAGACUGCGUGACUAGCAGGUGAGAGAGGUGAGUGGAAUUCCGAGUGUAGAGGUGAAAUUCGUAGAUAUUGGGAAGAACACCGGUGGCGAAGGCGGCUCACUGGCUCGUAUCUGACGCUCAGGCGCGAUAGCGUGGGGAUCAAACAGGAUUAGAUACCCGGGUAGUCCCUGUCUCUUAUAC
rnacentral:rRNA from 1 species